AGAGUUUGAUCCUGGCUCAGGACGAACGCUGGCGGCGCGCCUAACACAUGCAAGUCGAACGGAGUUAUUUUCUUCACUCCGAGCUUUUUGCCAGUUAGCCGGAGCGGCAAUCGGUUUUGCCCAGCAUAAAAAGCAAAACCGAUUUAGGCUCAUAAAGUAAGACUAACACAGAGGGCAGAGAGUUGGGAGUGAAGAAAAUAACUUAGUGGCGAACGGGUGAGUAACGCGUGAGUAACCUGCCCUGGAGUGGGGGACAACAGUUGGAAACGACUGCUAAUACCGCAUAAGCCCACGGUACCGCAUGGUACUGAGGGAAAAGGAUUUAUUCGCUUUAGGAUGGACUCGCGUCCAAUUAGCUAGUUGGUGAGGUAACGGCCCACCAAGGCGACGAUUGGUAGCCGGACUGAGAGGUUGAACGGCCACAUUGGGACUGAGACACGGCCCAGACUCCUACGGGAGGCAGCAGUGGGGGAUAUUGCACAAUGGGGGAAACCCUGAUGCAGCGACGCCGCGUGGAGGAAGAAGGUUUUCGGAUUGUAAACUCCUGUCGUUAGGGACGAUAAUGACGGUACCUAACAAGAAAGCACCGGCUAACUACGUGCCAGCAGCCGCGGUAAAACGUAGGGUGCAAGCGUUGUCCGGAAUUACUGGGUGUAAAGGGAGCGCAGGCGGGAAGACAAGUUGGAAGUGAAAACCAUGGGCUCAACCCAUGAAUUGCUUUCAAAACUGUUUUUCUUGAGUAGUGCAGAGGUAGAUGGAAUUCCCGGUGUAGCGGUGGAAUGCGUAGAUAUCGGGAGGAACACCAGUGGCGAAGGCGGUCUACUGGGCACCAACUGACGCUGAGGCUCGAAAGCAUGGGUAGCAAACAGGAUUAGAUACCCUGGUAGUCCAUGCCGUAAACGAUGAUUACUAGGUGUUGGGGGAUUGACCCCCUCAGUGCCGCAGUUAACACAAUAAGUAAUCCACCUGGGGAGUACGACCGCAAGGUUGAAACUCAAAGGAAUUGACGGGGGCCCGCAC
rnacentral:rRNA from 1 species